rnacentral:rRNA from 1 species
AUUGAACGCUGGCGGCAGGCCUAACACAUGCAAGUCGAGCGCGCGGCGGACGGGGGAGUAAUGUGUGUGGACUGCCCGAUAUAGGGGGAUAACUAUUGGAAACGGUAGCUAUAACCGCAUACUAUCGGAUAACCCAUAUGGGAUUAGCUAGUAGGUGAGGUAAUGGCUCACCUAGGCGACGAUCCCUAGCGGGUCUGAGAGGAUGAUCAGCCACACUGGGACUGAGACACGGCCCAGACUCCUACGGAGGCAGCAGUGGGGAAUAUUGCACAAUGGGCGCAAGCCUGAUGCAGCCAUGCCGCGUGUAUGAAGAAGGCCCUCGGGUUGUAAAGUACUUUCAGUCGGGAGGCGUUACCGACAGAAGAAGCACCGGCUAACUCCGUGCCAGCAGCCGCGGUAAUAC